rnacentral:rRNA from 1 species
CCUACGGGUGGCUGCAGUGAGGAAUCUUGCGCAAUGGGGGAAACCCUGACGCAGCAACGCCGCGUGAGUGAGGAAGGCCUUCGGGUCGUAAAGCUCUGUCAGAUGGGAAGAAAUGGGUGGGGGCUAAUAUCGUCCAUCCUUGACGGUACCAUCAGAGGAAGCACCGGCUAACUCCGUGCCAGCAGCCGCGGUAAUACGGGGGGUGCAAGCGUUGUUCGGAAUCAUUGGGCGUAAAGCGCGCGCAGGCGGCUUGGUAAGUCAGAUGUGAAAUCCCUGGGCUUAACCCAGGAAGUGCAUUUGAUACUGCCUCGCUAGAGUACGGGAGAGGAAAGUGGAAUUCCUGGUGUAGAGGUGAAAUUCGUAGAUAUCAGGAGGAACACCGGUGGCGAAGGCGACUUUCUGGCCCGAUACUGACGCUCAGGCGCGAAAGCGUGGGGAGCAAACAGGAUUAGAUACCCCAGUAGUCAU